rnacentral:rRNA from 1 species
CCGGAUCUCCCCAGUCCCAGCGACGCCCACCUCCCCCUGACCCCGCCUCCACCCGGCGUCGCCGCCCCCGCACCCUCCCACUCCCGCCCCACCGGCAAGUCAUGCGCCGCCAUGCCCACCCUUCCCUUUGACCGAUCUCCUCCUUCCUCUCCGUCGACACCGUGGGAGCACCCAUCCCGCUGCCCAUACCCUAACCGGUGACGCCGCCACCGCCACGCAGCCGCAGCCACGCCCCUGCAGGCGGCGCCGCCGCAGCCCCGCCCCCGCUGGCGGCGCAACCGCAGCCCCGACCCCAGCCGAUGACGCGCCACACCACAUGCCAGAGCACCUUGGGGAAGCCCGAUCCGGCGAGGAUCCUUCACCACCCUCCACUCUCCGGCGACCACCAGCCCGCGUGCGGAUGGGGUGCUAUCCUGCAGAUCGAGGAGGCGUCGAACUUCAGAUGGAGGAGGCCAGAACCUGCAUCUGGCCGCGCCAUGGUUGCGCGUCGCCGGCAUGCUCCGUCACGCUCGGCACCUCCUGAGCGUUGGAGUGAAGGUCGACUCGUAUGCACUCUGCAGUUCAAUUUCUACUGAUCCUGUAGCUCCUAAAUCUGUCGCGCACUUAUAUCGCAAGGUUCUUGCGUGUGUGUUUUGUCCUGCAGGGCAUUUUCUUCAGGGCAGUGGAGAGCACCCUCACCCUGAUCCGAUCUGCAGCAGCGUCCCCGAGUCCUCCCAAAGCAGCCCUGAGCCGUUCAAGUAUGCAGCCCCGGGCCGUUCAAAGACGGAGCUGCCGACCGUUCGUGAACACAACACCCCGAAUCCUGCUGCCCACCAUCCUGUAAAGGGAGACUUAUUGUGAAGACUUCAAGCUGAGUACAGAAGACUCGGUUAAUUUUUGCUCCCUUCUUGAAAUGAAGAGGGGAGUUGGUUCUCUUUUGAGGUUGCGACUCGAUUAAUCGAUUAAUUACAGCUUAUUUUCGACCUUCCUGUGCUAGUAGAUCUUUUCCCAAUUCUGAUCUUCUUUCGGUUGCUGUUUGGAUUGAUUCCCUCCGCUCUUCUUCGACCGCGCUCAUAAAUACGGCCUUGUAAUCUUGUGGAAAGGAGCAGUGCAGUGCAUGUGAGUACAUAUGGCCUGAAGCUGCUAUAAUUGUCCAAAAUCCGGUGUUUGCUGCUGCAAUCCAAGUGAAGUAUAUUUGGAAACAUGCCUGCCUCGAGUCUUCUUCUCUGUCCUGAACCAACAGUCCUCGAGGCAGGAUGUACUACUACCUGGACUCAUCUGCCCCGGAGGCACAACACGAACCAAGCCCCAUGUUUUUCAGUGACUGACUCAGUAGUCCUUGAUGGUCGAACAUCCGGCAGCUAGCCCGUACUGCACCACCAUAUCUUGCCAUCUUAUGAUCCCAGCAAAAUGUUGAAGUAAAACACACACCACCAGGAGGAGAGUAUAUGUCAAGGAAGGACUGGUGAAAUAGCAGGGCAGAGAUGCCACAGUAAUGCUGAGCCGAAGUGGUAGCAUGUAUGCGAGAAAACUCGUUUGUUUGGGUUGGGGAGCCAGCCGAGCCAGCGCACACUUGGUGGACAGUCUUAUCUGGUUCGUACGCCCGGCCGUGAUAUUGUGUCCGAAAAGAAGACUCAAAUGGGCACGUUCAACUACUGUGUCCCAACCCAU